rnacentral:rRNA from 1 species
GACAGGUGGUGCAUGGUUGUCGUCAGCUUCGUGUCGUGAGAUGUUAGGUUAAGUCCUGCAACGAGCGCAACCCCUAUUGUUAGUUGCCAUCAUUCAGUUGGGCGCUCUAGCGAGACUGCCGGUAAUAAACCGGAGGAAGGUGGGGAUGACGUCAAAUCAUCAUGCCCCUUAUGACCUGGGCUACACGCGUGCUACAAUGGUUGGUACAACGAGUCGCAAGUCGGUGACGGCAAGCAAAUCUCUUAAAGCCAAUCUCAGUUCAGAUUGCAGGCUGAAACUCGCCUGCAUGAAGAUGGAAUUGCUAGUAAUCGCGGAUCAGCAUGCCGCGGUGAAUACGUUCCCGGGC